rnacentral:lncRNA from 1 species
UCAUUUGCACAUGAAUUUUACAAUGUCUAAAUAUUCAAAAUAGUAGAAAGAAAUAUCACAAUUUUACUAAAAGCAGAAUAUCACAUUUAUUUCUAACAAUAGACAAGAAAAAUAAAUAAAUUUGUUUGUCAUAAUUUACAGCAUUCAAAAUUUCUAACAUAGAUAAAAUAUCACAAUUUUUAUUAAACAGAUUAUUUUUCAGGAAGAUGAUGUCACUUACUCACAAAUAUUUGAGAGGGAGCUUCCGAUAAAAAUUCGGCUCGAGAGAGGAGUUCACUGUGUUUCGACCAGAGAAAAAAUCUCAAAAGUUUUCUAAGGUAGGAGUCUUCA